GGUCGGUUAGCUCAGUUGGUUAGAGCGUGGUGCUAAUAACCGAUUUUCCGAUCAUUGCUGGUCCUAAACGAGUUGCAACGCCAAGGUCGCGGGUUCGACCCCCGUACUGACCA